UUCCACACUCUUAUAGAAGAUGAUUUGCUCUCCUCCUUAACCGAGGCCAAGCAAUGUUCUGUUUCUUCCUUAUGAGAGCUGAGGAAAUCUGGUAAGAACACUAUAUAUACUCCUAUGUUAAUUGUGAAUUAUUUGAUAUAUUCAAUUCAUAAAGUGACAAAUUAUUGAUAUAGAAAAAGUCAAACACUGAAUAUCAAAAGAAAAUUGGAAUAUCAACAUCCUCAUUGUUCAUCCAUACGUCAUCCACUAGCCCCAACCUCAAAAAAAAAAAAAAAAAAAAA